UUGGAACUGAGACACGGUCCAAACUCCUACGGGAGGCAGCAGUGAGGAAUAUUGGUCAAUGGGCGAGAGCCUGAACCAGCCAAGUAGCGUGAAGGAUGACUGCCCUAUGGGUUGUAAACUGCUUUUAUAAGGGAAUAAAGUGAGUCUCGUGAGACUUUUUGCAUGUACCUUAUGAAUAAGGACCGGCUAAUUCCGUGCCAGCAGCCGCGGUAAUACGGAAGGUCCGGGCGUUAUCCGGAUUUAUUGGGUUUAAAGGGAGCGUAGGCCGGAGAUUAAGCGUGUUGUGAAAUGUAGAUGCUCAACAUCUGAACUGCAGCGCGAACUGGUUUCCUUGAGUACGCACAAAGUGGGCGGAAUUCGUGGUGUAGCGGUGAAAUGCUUAGAUAUCACGAAGAACUCCGAUUGCGAAGGCAGCUCACUGGAGCGCAACUGACGCUGAAGCUCGAAAGUGCGGGUAUCGAACAGGAUUAGAUACCCUGGUAGUCCGCACGGUAAACGAUGGAUGCCCGCUGUUGGUCUGAAUAGGUCAGCGGCCAAGCGAAAGCAUUAAGCAUCCCACCUGGGG
rnacentral:rRNA from 1 species